rnacentral:rRNA from 1 species
GAUGAACGCUGGCGGCGUGCUUAACACAUGCAAGUCGAACGAAGCAUUACUUUUGGAAGUUUUUAGCUUGCUAAAAAUGGACAUGUGUAAUGACUGAGUGGCGGACGGGUGAGUAACGCGUGGGUAACCUGCCUUAUACAGGGGGAUAACAGUUAGAAAUGACUGCUAAUACCGCAUAAGCGCACAGUAUCGCAUGAUACGGUGUGAAAAACUCCGGUGGUAUAAGAUGGACCCGCGUCUGAUUAGCUAGUUGGUGAGGUAAUGGCUCACCAAGGCGACGAUCAGUAGCCGACCUGAGAGGGUGACCGGCCACAUUGGGACUGAGACACGGCCCAAACUCCUACGGGAGGCAGCAGUGGGGAAUAUUGCACAAUGGGGGAAACCCUGAUGCAGCGACGCCGCGUGAGCGAAGAAGUAUUUCGGUAUGUAAAGCUCUAUCAGCAGGGAAGAAAAUGACGGUACCUGACUAAGAAGCCCCGGCUAACUACGUGCCAGCCGCCGCC